CUUAAUUUGUGUUCAGAAGAUCAACGAAGGUCUUACGGGUGUGGAACGGCAUGAGGAUAAAGGGGCAGAGACGAGAUAGAAGUGGACAGGCCGCUUUUACCCUCCGGCAGCAUCCAGCGUCGUUAGAGAAACUCACCUCAGCCGGUCUGACAGCCACCCCUCCCGGCCAGUCCACAAGUCAGCCCGAUAAAACACACCUUGGCAAGACUGAUUUCCCACAAGCACAGUCAACAAGAAGAAUGUCUGGACUAUAAACAUGCAGCCAAGCACGAUGAACAAGCCAGAAAUACCUGGUGGUGAUAACUCCCAUCUCUUCGAUAUGAGGUCUGGACGGG